AAGAAGUGGGCUAGCCCCUUUAGCCCACUGGAACCCCACUUUACCCUAUUAGCCCAUCCCGAUAGCUUGGUGCAGGGAGGACGACGCCGUCGCCGAUCGAUGGCAGCCGCCGCUGCACGGCGCACCUAGCCCCUCCCCUACCUCGCAGCUUCUCCCUGCUCCGCCCCUCCCCUACCUCACAGCUUCUCCCUACCCCACCCCUCCCCUACCUCCCGGCGAUGGGCAGGUCGCCGGCAGCACCAACCCCGACCCCCAGGUCGCCGGCAUGAUCAAUCACGACCCCCGGGUCGCCGGCUGUCCCAACCCCGACAGCCAAGGCGCCGGAUGCGUCAAUCCCGGAGCCCAAGGUGCCGGAUGCAUCGUCGGCAGCAGCUGAUGCAUCAAUUCAAGAUAGUCCCUCAGAUUCAAGGAAAAAUAUUGUCGUCGUUGGCAGGGAAAAAUAUGCUUUUUUUUCAUCUUCUUCUCUGAAAGCCCGUUUUUAGGUAUGUAGGUAGGUGCGAUUGGUUAGAUUUGGGGAUUGGAUUUCAGAAGAUGGGGACCUGGAUUGCUACUGCUAAUUGGCUGUUCAUCAUCUAUUGUUUAUUUAAGAAAAUAGGACCUGGAUGGGUACCAUUUACAUAACUACGCCGAACACUAAACAUUGGGCCAUCUUGCUGUUACAUACAGCGUAUUUCAGUGAUUUGUAGUGAUCUGCCACUUAGUUUCUUUCUUAUUCUAUUGUACCUUUUAUUAAUGUCUGAACUUAACUCAUCAUAUUUAACUCGGUUGUGAAAAUUUUCAGAUCUUGAGGAGCACAAGGGUGAGCUCUUGCGUGCCAUAAAAAUCGAGAAGGCUACUGGCCCGGAUCUUGAGGAGCACAAGGGUGCUAGUGAGCUCCAUGUGGAACCACCAAAGUGCAAGAAAAGUAAGCGAAGUAGGCAGAGUAGCGGCGAGCUUCAUGCGGAACACCAAGAAACGAACAAAGUCUUUAUUUAUGCAUAACUGCCCACUUUAUUGAUGGCUCAUGGACUCUACAAAACAGAAUAAUCAGAUUUUGCCUCUUGGAAACUCUGCACAACGCUCAUAACAUGUUUGACAUGGUGCAAGAUAGCUUGAGAGAUUGGAAAAUUGAAGACAAAAUCUUUAGCUUUACCCUAGACAAUGCACCAGUUAAUACCUUGAUGGUUGGCCACUUGAGAAUUUUUUUGGCAGAUAGGCAGAAGGUGGAGCCUGAGGACAAGGAGGAGACCCGGGGGGCGAAGCCAGAAGCGGCACCGGCGGCAGCUGAGACUCAGUGAAGGCUUGUCCUGAGCUCGUGAUCGUCUUCCAUGAACCAACCUGAAGCUUCAUUCACUGAGAGUUGCGAGGUCUUAUCAGCUUAGAGUUUUUAUUUUCUCUUUGUCCUUGUGAGUUCACUGAGAUUUUUAAUGGGACUACCACUGAGAGUUGUGAGCUUCAUUCACUGAGAGUCGCUAUAAGUUGAAAAUAAGCUUGUAUCUGUGGCGGCCGCUUCCACAAAGUUCUAUUAAUAUGUUGAUGCACUAUUACCUUAUUCAAAUUCCAAUCAAGAUUUGCUUGUCCA